rnacentral:rRNA from 1 species
GACGAACGCUGGCGGCAUGCUUAACACAUGCAAGUCGAACGGCAACACACUACUUUUUUGGGCUUCUCGAGUGGCGAACGCGUGCGUAACACGUGGAUAUCCUGCCCUAGACUUUGGUGUAACUUCACGUAACUGAAGCUACUCCCGGAUCGGAGAUCAUGCUCGGUUGAAAGCAUUGGAAAUUUUCAGCGGUUGGGGAUGGAUGCGCGGCUUAUCAACUUGCUGGUGGGGGAGUGGCUUGCCAAGGCAGUGACCGGUCGCCGGCCUGAGAGGGUGAACGGCCACAAUGGGACUGAGGGACGGACCAGAGUGCUACGGGAGGCAGCAGGGGGGAAUAUUGCACAGUGGGAGCAAGUCUGAUGCAGCAACGCUGGGGUCGUGAUGACGGUUUGCGGGUUGAAAACAGCUGUAGCCUGUGACGCAGCGGUAGUGACGGUAAUGGGUAAAGAAGCACCGGCUAACUACGUG